rnacentral:lncRNA from 1 species
GCAAUAAAAUAAAAUAAAAUGCAUUAAAACAAUUUAAAAUGAAUUUUAAAAGGGAAAUAAAAGAGAAAAUCCAUAAAGUCCUUCAAAACACCAAAUAAAUGACCAAUAAAAUUAUGAAAGGUCCGAAAUAAAAUAAGAAUCAUAUAAUGAAUUUUUCAGAAUUUUAAAAUGCAUAAAAUUAUUUUUAAACCAAUUAAAACAAAGGAGAAAAGAG